CUGAUGUCAGUGUCGCCAUUUCUGGGAAUUUUGCUCAGAAGGCAGAGGUGAGUGUUGGUUUCUUACUGCUGAAAGUGUUGUAAGGUGAAUUAAUUUGGUUUUUUUUUUUGCUUACAGGUAAGGUUACAGGUCGGGCUCUAUGUUGUGUAUCUUUUGGACUGGCUGACAGUUUUUGACAAAGAUCAAAUCCUAGUUCUUCGCUUGGAGGACCAUGCAUCCAACAUGAGGUACACCAUGCACAAGGUGUUCCACUUCCUGGAUCUGGGACCUUUAAGUGAGAAACAAGAAGCUCUGAUUACCAAGAGUCCUGCAUCAAACACCAGACGACCUGAAGACAGAAGCCUGGGGCCAAUGCUACCAACCACGAAGGCAAUUUUAAGAGAUUUCUACAGGCCUUUUAAUACAAAACUGGCACAAGUUCUUUUUGAUGAUGCUUUUUUAUGGAAGAGGACAUAAAAAUAUGUAAAUUUCGUGCCACAAAUACAGUGCUUAAAGGAGUUUUUAUUUUUUUUAAAUUCUAUUUUUGUGCGUGGAUAUUUACAUUGUUCCCAUUCCAAAGAGAAGCCGAUUGAUGAGCUGAGACUCUCACCUUCAGUCAGCACAUUUCACAACAGUUGUACCACAUUUUCCUUGUGAGAAUGGAAAGCAUCUUGCUUAUCAGUCUAUUUGUAACUUCUUUUACCCCAGAAAACGAGUGGAAAAGCAUUAGGACAGAGAUGAUGUCUGACACUUUUCCACAGGGGUGUUGAAGUUUAACCUUCUCUAAGAUGCUGCAACAUCCUACAAUUAAGCUUAUAAUCUCAUUUUCAGUAUAUGUUAUUCAUUCAUUUUUUCAAUCAAUCAAUCAAUCAAUGUCAUUUAGUCAUUAAAAUUUUUAAUUGAAUUCAA